UGUGCCCUGCACUGUGGGCCUUUUCCCAGCCGGCCGGUGGGGGAGCAGCCACUGUGGGUCCCCGAGUCUUGGUGAGACAGUCAAGGAUGGACCUGGGGUGGGGACCGGUGUGCAGCCGUGUCCCUGGGGAAGGAGCAGCACAGGCUGGGACAGAGGACCUCUGAACUGUCCCCUUGGCCACGCUAUGGAAAGCCACGCUCUCCCCCCAGCUCCCGCAGCUGGGACCCGGAGACCACCCAGGGCCGGAGUCCAGAAUGACCACCAUUGCAUCUCGGCCCUCCAGCUCGGGACAGGAGCUGGGGAGCAGAGGCUGGCCCCAACCUGAGGCCCCCUGAACCCAGAGCACGCCCCUCUGCACAGAGGACCUCCUGUUGGAUGCGUGAGCUGCUGCCUGGCCCACUUGCAGCCUGACUGGCCUUUUGGGGCAUCCUCCAGCCCCAACCUGGUGGAGAGGGCGUGAUGGCACUGGCAUCCCAUCAUACAGGAGGAUGGCAGUUCAGAGAGAAGAGGGGGCCUCUGGUCCACGCUGGACCAGAGGGGGUCAGGCCCUCCUCACCCUGAGGGGCGUGCCAGACACUACCCAGGUCCAGUGAGGGUCCUGGGACUGGAAUAGGGAUGAACGAAUGGCCCUGGGUUUCUAGAAGUUUCUUCCAUAUCUCUUCUUGGCCCCAUGGGACGAGGCUCCCUUCACCUGGUCAUCCACCUCCAGCCAUGGGCAGAGCACUCAUCCCUGGACUCCGAUCCCCAGGGCCCUGCCCUCAGCCUGGCAAGGAGGUUGGUGGGCCAGUUCCGGAGACAACUGCUUCUCCAGAGCCCCUUCUUCCUCCCUGUUCUCCAUGUUGCCCAGAGAUGCCCCAGCCUGGGGGAAACCACGAGGAAAGAGUGUGAGCCCAGGACCCCCAGCCCCUACAUGUACCUCACCCCCAGGUCGCCCCACCAGCCUCCGAAAUGCAGACAUUUUUCUUCUCUAGUUUUGCAUCUGUGCUGGAGGGGAGUCCCGUUGCCCGCCUGCCCACUGCCCAGCCUGGCCUGUGCUCGGGCCUUGGGUGGUUGAGGGCUUGCUCGGGCCCGGGCACAGUGGGGUACAGGAUGGUGGCCUGCUACACCUCUCUCAGCAGGAAAGAAACACUCUGCUCUUUGGCCAGUAGACACUGCGCCACUCUCUCUCCGACCCUUGCUUGGCUGUCUCCUCCCUCCCAAAUCGUGGCCAUCGAGUCCCUUCCUGGUCCCCUCACUCCCAGCUCCCGGCCACCCCAGCCUUCUUGUUUCUACUCUCGUGAUGCGGCCCCUUCCCUAAGGCUCCAAUCUGUCCGUCCUCUUUGCUCUUUUCCCAAUCAAUGCCCAUCCUCUUUUUCUAAAGGUCCAUUUUGUCCCCACGAAAACCCUCCAUGCUUCCCCAGUUCUCCCACCUGCGCGCCUGCUCUUGCCCCAUCCGCCUGCCAACCUUCUCUUCCCUGUCCUCCCGGAAGCUGCCAGCUCCUGCCUAGUCCCAUCUGUGUCCCACAACGGCAAGAGGGACAGCGGGGGAGACCAGGCUCGGAGGAACUUCGGGCGUGCUUCGUGGACUGGGGAUAUCGCUGACGGU